CGGAGUGGCGGACGGGUGAGUAACGUCUGGGAAACUGCCCGAUGAGGGGGGAUAACUACUGGAAACGGUAGCUAAUACCGCAUAAUGUCGCAAGACCAAAGAGGGGGACCUUCGGGCCUCUUGCCAUCGGAUGUGCCCAGAUGGGAUUAGCUAGUAGGUGGGGUAACGGCUCACCUAGGCGACGAUCCCUAGCUGGUCUGAGAGGAUAACCAGCCACACUGGAACUGAGACACGGUCCAG
rnacentral:rRNA from 1 species